CCUACGGGUGGCAGCAGUGAGGAAUAUUGGUCAAUGGCCGAGAGACUGAACCAGCCAAGUCGCGUGAGGGAAGACGGUACAAAGGAUUGUAAACCUCUUUUGUCGGGGAGCAAAGCCUGUGACGCGUCACCGGAUGAGUGUACCCGAAGAAAAAGCAUCGGCUAACUCCGUGCCAGCAGCCGCGGUAAUACGGAGGAUGCGAGCGUUAUCCGGAUUUAUUGGGUUUAAAGGGUGCGCAGGCGGAGGUGGAAGUCAGCGGUCAAAGUGCGGGGCUCAACCCCGUACCGCCGUUGAAACUGGAUGCCUUGAGUGCGCGAGAAGUAUGCGGAAUGCGUGGUGUAGCGGUGAAAUGCAUAGAUAUCACGCAGAACUCCGAUUGCGAAGGCAGCAUACCGGCUCGCAACUGACGCUCAGGCACGAAAGCGUGGGUAUCGAACAGGAUUAGAUACCCUAGUAGUC
rnacentral:rRNA from 1 species